GACGAACGCUGGCGGCGUGCUUAACACAUGCAAGUCGAACGGAAAGGCCCUGCUUUUGUGGGGUGCUCGAGUGGCGAACGGGUGAGUAACACGGGAGUAACCUGCCCUUUACUUUGGGAUAACUUCAGGAAACUGGGGCUAAUACCGGAUAGGAGCUCCUGCUGCAUGGUGGGGGUUGGAAAGUUUCGGCGGUUGGGGAUGGACUCGCGGCUUAUCAGCUUGUUGGUGGGGUAGUGGCUUACCAAGGCUUUGACGGGUAGCCGGCCUGAGAGGGUGACCGGCCACAUUGGGACUGAGAUACGGCCCAGACUCCUACGGGAGGCAGCAGUGGGGAAUAUUGCACAAUGGGCGGAAGCCUGAUGCAGCAACGCCGCGUGCGGGAUGACGGCCUUCGGGUUGUAAACCGCUUUCGCCUGUGACGAAGCGUGAGUGACGGUAAUGGGUAAAGAAGCACCGGCUAACUACGUG
rnacentral:rRNA from 1 species